rnacentral:rRNA from 1 species
GAUGAACGCUGGCGGCGUGCCUAAUACAUGCAAGUCGAGCGAACGGACGAGAAGCUUGCUUCUCUGAUGUUAGCGGCGGACGGGUGAGUAACACGUGGAUAACCUACCUAUAAGACUGGGAUAACUUCGGGAAACCGGAGCUAAUACCGGAUAAUAUUUUGAACCGCAUGGUUCAAAAGUGAAAGACGGUCUUGCUGUCACUUAUAGAUGGAUCCGCGCUGCAUUAGCUAGUUGGUAAGGUAACGGCUUACCAAGGCAACGAUGCGUAGCCGACCUGGGGGGGUGGCAGGCCCCACGGGAAGUGGGACACGGGCCCGACCCCGACGGGGGGGCACAGGAGGGGAUCUUCCGCAAAGGGGCGAAACCCUGAGGGAGAAAGGCGGGGGAGGUGAAGAAGUGUUGCGGACUGGAAAACCUUUUUAUGGGGGAAAAAAAUUUUUGAAAGAAACGUUCCACCUUUGGAGGGAACCAAACAAAAAGCCACGGCUAAAUUCGUG